UACGAAGGGGGCUAGCGUUGCUCGGAAUCACUGGGCGUAAAGCGCACGUAGGCGGAUUGUUAAGUCAGGGGUGAAAUCCUGGAGCUCAACUCCAGAACUGCCUUUGAUACUGGCGAUCUCGAGUCCGGGAGAGGUGAGUGGAACUGCGAGUGUAGAGGUGAAAUUCGUAGAUAUUCGGCAAGAACACCAGUGGCGAAGGCGGCUCACUGGCCCGGUACUGACGCUGAGGUGCGAAGCG
rnacentral:rRNA from 1 species